GUAUGGGCGUGUGGUCGUGACGUCAGGCAUUACAGCUGAGUAGUUCCGCGCGGGGAACGAGACGGCGUACGUCGGUGCUCCCACCCCUAAUUGCAACCCCGCGAUAUUUUAUGUUUAAGCAAAUAUGGUUUAACAGCGUUGAAAGUAACACUGGGUGCGUAUAAUCUACGCGAGAGUGUGUGUGUGCAACGGGAAACAAGGAAGCAACUAUCCUCGUGACUGCCUCUCAUAUACGGUUCGUCGACUCGCCGUUGUGCGUUUUGAGUAUUAAGGUGUGACGUUAUCAGAACAGACACCUGUGGCAUUGUAUGACUAAAGUAGUCGUAAUCAGGUUUGUAUGCCCUGCAGAAACAAGCCUGAAUACUUUGCUGCUACGUCGAACACGUUCAUCCACAAGCGUUGAUGCAUCACGGAACGAGACUCCGCCACGUACAACUCCGAGGUCUUCGGUCGAGUAGUGUCUGCUACUUCAACUGAUGAUCGUCCAGCAGCACGGUAGCAGAUGUGGAAGUCAGCCACUUGUGGUGUUUUUGACAUCUCAGCCACAGCAGUAGGUAGCAGACAGUUGGAUGCUACUACACGUCGUUUCUUGUUGUUUGAUUCUUCACAUGGCCCAACAUACAUGAUUUUUUUUUACACUCAGUUCCGACGAUGCUACAGGCAUACUAUUGUUUAUGUAGAGUUGUUUCACUCGUACCAUAGCUAUCAUUCUUUCAAUAAAGUUAUUUAUUCAACAAA